GUCACCUGCUGUAUAAAUUACCCUCAUGUCUUCAACCACUCUGCACAGAUCUCAGCUCCUAAUCUAUUUGAAUUGCUUUCUGUUUUAUAAUGAAUUAAUUUUUUAUUCUUUUGGAUUUUGAUGAAUACGAAGUCAGGAAAUGUAGUCUGAAGCAGAGAUAGUGUGUAUCGACGCUGUGCGAAUUUGAUUCAAUAUGCACUCUGAUCGAAAGUGUUCUCUGCAAAAUCGAAUUCACAAGGGAAAGAUGGGCAGUUGUCUUUUAUUUUCAGUUGAUUUGUCAACAAUCAUCUUACCUACACUUUCUGAAAAUUUCUCCAAUUUCUUUUUCUCCAAUUUUUGUAUCAAAUUUUCAUUUUUAGCGCACUUGUUUUUUUACUGCGCAUCAAUGACCGAAAGUGAAGAUUUUUUUGAUUUAUUAUUUCUAUUGCAAUUAGUUUUCACAGCAAAUGGCACUAUGUUUCAAAGGCUGCGCCAAUAUUCUGUAAAGAAUAAGAAUGGGAUAGUCUUUGAGCAAAUGUGCAUAAAUUAAAUGCCGAGUUGAGCUCGGCGGCGGCCAGACAACCGUUGAGAUGGAUCCACAGAUCAGCGCCGCUCUAUCUACGGUGCUUGUCUACUAAAUCCAUCUCAAAUUCUCUUCGAAUUAUAAUGAUUUCCCCUAUCUUCUUGAUUAAUUUAUUAUGGUUUUUCUGGAUUUGGUUUUUAACGAAUCAGUUAAGAAUUUUUGCCUCGCUUGCAUUCUUAAAUAAGUAUUUCACAUGUCUGUAUUUUCCAGUGUUGUGAAUCUUGUAAGUUGUAAUGACUGCCAUACAAGAUGUUCGAUGCUUGUUAUAUGGUAUUCCAAGUUGGUAAUGAACUGUGUUUGAUUUCUGGUCACGAUGAGGUCUUAUAUUGAUUUUCCCCUAUGCUCAUAAGUUAAAUCAGUUUGAAAUGGCCUGUAUGUUUCAACUAUCUCUACCGUUUUCCUUCAACUUGUUUAUGCACUCAUAAGUGUUUGAUGUGUAUGAUAAAAGCUCUUAUUGUGCUGAGAGCCUACGAGAUGCUGCUCAGUUAGUCAGUUACUAGGAUUGGUGAAAAUUUAAAUCAAAUUAAAUUAAUAAUGCAAUGUUGUUUCUCCUAUCACUUAAUGAACUUUAUAUUCAUAUCUAAGUAAUUCUCAGAAUUAGUUUUUCUUUUAUUACGGUUUGGCCUUGUUUCUUGUUUCAAUAAAUUUCUACUUGUUUUGUGAUUCUGACAGAAGUGAAGGUUGUAGCAGCUUACUUGUUGGCUGUGUUGGGUGGCAAUGUCUCCCCUCUGCUGAUGAUAUUUCCGGCAUCCUCGGCUCAGUUGUAGCUGACGUCGAUAAGGAAAUAGUUGAAUUGCUUGUCUCAAGUUGCCGGUAUAGAUAUUAUUGAGUUAAUUGCUGCUGGAAGGAAGAAAUUGGUUAUCUAUUUCUUUUGCAGGAUAUGAGUUUUGGUCUCUUUGACUAAGAAAAUUGCAAAACAUUUGCUAUUGCAACUGUCUGUGUCUUUGUUGUAGUAGAAAAUUCUCUUUUUUAUGAUUUUGGCUUAGUUUUUAGUUGGAAAAGAAUUUGUUUUUGUUGUUGUAUUUUUUAUUUUUUUAUUUUUAAUUUUUUUAUGAUUUUGGCUUAGUUUUUAGUUGGAGAAAAAUUUGUUGCUUCAACGAGUCCAUUGCACAAUGAAGAUAUAAUACUAUCAAUUUUGAAUUUCAUA